rnacentral:lncRNA from 1 species
AAUAAGAGAAAAAAAGAAGAUGAAUUAUAAAUAUUUUGAAAUUGGAAUUCGAAUAAGAGAAAAGGGAAGAAAGAAUUUUCAAGGAUGGCAGAACUUUUUUUUUUUUUACUUAAGCUUAAAGUUUUGAGUCUGUUAUCUGCGUAAUUUUUAAUUAUUUCUGAUAUUUUUUUAUCUUGAAUUAUGCUAUUUAUAUUAUUAACU